AGCUUUGCGCAGUGGCAGUAUCGUAGCAAAUGAGGUUUAUCUGAGGCGUGAUUAUUGCUAAUAGAUUUUCCAGUUCUUC
ensembl:snRNA U4 U4 spliceosomal RNA